rnacentral:misc_RNA from 1 species
AAAGUCGUAACAAGGUUUCCGUAGGUGAACCUGCGGAAGGAUCAUUGCCGAACGGACGCGCGCCUCGCUGCCCUCCUCGCUUCCGCGAGUGGUCUGGCCGGCCGCGUCUUAUCGCACACCCAUGUGAACUCGUGAUCGUGACCCUGGACGGUGGCCGCCGCCGCGCGCGCGCGCCGCCGAUCCGGCUCCUUUCAUACAUUACAAACCACGCGAACAACCUCUUGACUGAGACAAACAGGGUCACGCCUAAAAACGCGACUCGACAAGACAUAACCUAUCACAACUUUUAACAACGGAUAUCUUGGCUCGC